rnacentral:rRNA from 1 species
UACGUAGGGUGCGAGCGUUGUCCGGAAUUAUUGGGCGUAAAGGGCUCGUAGGCGGUCUGUUGCGUCAGGAGUGAAAACUCGGGGCUUAACCCCGAGCCUGCUUCUGAUACGGGCAGACUAGAGGUAUGCAGGGGAGAACGGAAUUCCUGGUGUAGCGGUGAAAUGCGCAGAUAUCAGGAGGAACACCAGUGGCGAAGGCGGCCGCCUGGACCUGACCUGACGCUGAGGCGCGAAGGCGUGGGGAGCGAACGGG